rnacentral:rRNA from 1 species
CAAGUCGAACGGUAACAGGAUGUGCUUGCACAUCGCUGACGAGUGGCGGACGGGUGAGUAAUGCUUGGGAGCUUGCCUUUGCGAGGGGGAUAACAGUUGGAAACGACUGCUAAUACCGCAUAAUGUCUUCGGACCAAACGGGGCUCCGGCUCCGGCGCAAAGAGAGGCCCAAGUGAGAUUAGCUAGUUGGUAAGGUAACGGCUUACCAAGGCGACGAUCUCUAGCUGUUCUGAGAGGAAGAUCAGCCACACUGGGACUGAGACACGGCCCAGACUCCUACGGGAGGCAGCAGUGGGGAAUAUUGCACAAUGGGGGAAACCCUGAUGCAGCCAUGCCGCGUGUGUGAAGAAGGCCUUCGGGUUGUAAAGCACUUUCAGUUGUGAGGAAAAGUUAGUAGUUAAUACCUGCUAGCCGUGACGNUUACAACAGAAGAAGCACCGGCUAACUCCGUGCCAGCAGCCGCGGUAAUACGGAGGGUGCGAGCGUAAAUCGGAAUUACUGGGCGUAAAGCGCACGCAGGCGGUUUGUUAAGCUAGAUGUGAAAGCCCCGGGCUCAACCUGGGAUGGUCAUUUA